GGCAAAUUAAAGAUAAUUUUAAUUUUAAGUUACAUCAGAGUGAACACUGAUCUAUGUUGUUACUUAGCAAUACCUAACAAUAGCCAGAUUAGUGUUGGUAAGUGAGAGCCGAUACUAUUGGUUCCAAGCAUAAUCUCCAACCCUGCCACAUGGGCAUUCCAUUCAGGUGCCCAGUGUGCCAGCACUGUGGUGGCCAGUGUCAGGUUGGCUGAAAUCAGCAGGCCAAAUCACUUUUUCUACUUGGUUGUUUAGUGGUUUUUCCAUGUGGAUACAUUUGGGUGAACACUAAUAUGUAAUAAAAAGAUCUUCCCAGAGCAGAAAUGUCUUUUGGUGCUGCUACUGUGUUAAUACAACUUUAGUUCAAUGAACUUGCCCUGUACCCUGCCCCCCCCCUCCAAAAAAAAGAUGUUCCCACUUUGUGCUUUGUUUCUUACCAGGUCCAGUAGCAUGCCCAUCAGUAUGUUUUAGAAAAGGUUUAUAAUUCUCUACUGCAAAUGACAUGCCUUUGCACAAAAGGAGAUGAAAAUAUAGAUAGGUGCAUGUCCAGGCAAGAAGAAGAGGAGAACACAGAUUUGGUCGUUUCAAAAGAGGAGACUGGUGAUUUGUGAACUCUCUUCCAACCCCAACAUUGGGUUCCAGUGAGGUUUAGUACCUAGUGACAAGACUUGAACGCAGUUCUCAGAAUUGUGCAUUAUUUCAGGGCAGGUCUGACAAGGUAAUUUGAUGUGCCAGUGUUGUGGCUCUAACACUAGUAAAAAAAAAUGCCAUUCACCUUACUGAUAUUAUUCUUGAAAACUUUAGUCUGCGAUGAC
rnacentral:lncRNA from 1 species